rnacentral:rRNA from 1 species
AGCACGUAGGUGGGUUUGUAAGUCAGACGUGAAAGCCUUCUGUUCAACGGAAGAAUUGCAUCUGAAACUACAAACCUUGAGUGUAGGAGGGGAGAAUGGAACUUCUGGUGGAGCGGUGAAAUGCGUAGAUAUCAGAAGGAACACCGGCGGCGAAAGCGAUUCUCUGGCCUAUUACUGACACUCAGUGUGCGAAAGCUAGGGGAGCAAACGGGAUUAGAUACCCCGGUAGUCCUAGCCGUAAACGAUGGGCACUAAGUAGAGGGAAUUACCGAUGUUCUCUCUGCCGUAGCUAACGCAUUAAGUGCCCCGCCUGGGGAGUACGGCCGCAAGGCUAAAACUCAAAAGAAUUGACGGGGGCUCGCACAAGCGGUGGAGCAUGUGGCUUAAUUCGAUGCAACGCGAAAAACCUUACCGGGGCUUGACAUGGUAGAAGUAGGAACCCGAAAGGGUAACGAACGGUAUCCAGUCCGUGACUAUCACAGGUGUUGCAUGGCUGUCGUCAGCUCGUGUCGUGAGACGUUGGGUUAAGUCCCCUAACGAGCGAAACCCUUGUUUUUAGUUGCCAGCGGGUUAUGCCGGGCACUCUAGAAAGACUGCCGUCGUCAAGACGGAGGAAGGUGGGGAUGACGUCAAGUCAUCAUGGCCCUUAUGCCCCGGGCUGCACACGUGCUACAAUGGCCGGUACAAACGGAAGCGAAGCCGAGAGGUGAAGCGAAUC